rnacentral:rRNA from 1 species
AAUCAACGCUGGCGGCGUGCCUCAGACAUGCAAGUCGAACGAUUAAACUUUCCUUCGGGGAAGAUAUAGAGUGGCGCACGGGUGAGUAACACGUAAGUAAUCUACCCUUGGGUGGGGAAUAACAUCGGGAAACCGAUGCUAAUACCGCAUAAUGCAGCGGCUUCUUAUGAAGACAGUUGUUAAAGCAUUUAUGUGCCUGAGGAGGAGCUUGCGGCAGAUUAGCAGUUGGUAAGGUAAUGGCUUACCAAGGCGACGAUCUGUAGCCGACCUGAGAGGGCGGUCGGUCACACUGACACUGAAUAACGGGUCAGACUCCUACGGGAGGCAGCAGUCGGGAAUUUUGGGCAAUGGGCGCAAGCCUGACCCAGCAACGCCGCGUGAAGGAUG